UCAUGGUAGCAGUGAAAGUUUUCAAGUGGCGUCACAGAGGAUAGCUGGUAAUAAUAUUUUAGUCUUCGUAUAUAUACUUCAUUUUCCUUUAUAUGAUAAAUAGCAGUCACAAACCUUAGUUUACAACUAGAUGGCGUUUUUCUCUUUUGUUUUAACCUUGAGACCCUCGAUUAAUAAAAAAAAUAAUUAUUCAUCAACACGAAACUUAGUUUACUAUCACACCUAAGGUAAACAAGUUGUAGUCCGGUUUUCUUCUUAAAAGAAGACUAGCUAGAACAUGUAUGAUAUAUCUUUGAACGAACUAGUUUUAACUAAAGAUGAACAAGCAGUUACAUAAUAAUGAAAAAGAAAAGUAGAACAUGCAUGCAUGUUUGUUUUGCAUUUCCGAAAUCCAGAUUAGAUUGUUUAUAAAAUACUAAUUUUUAAUUUAAUAUUCAAUAAUCAUAUGAUGCUUGAAAAUAUAUAUUAAAUGAGUUGUACAUACACAUUCGAGGAAUCUAAAUCUUGAUAUUUUAAAUAUUCUUAUCUCAAAAUGUCUUUUAAUAUGAUUACAAAUCAUCUUUUGGAAUUUUGUUAAUCCCGUAAUAUAAUCAAUUUUUGAUAAAUGUUUUUCUAAAAAGCAUAUAAUAAUUUCAAAUAGUUCAACGUAUUGGAUUUUUACAUGGGAUCUAUUAAAAUUAAUAUAUUUAAUUUUAUUUAUUUUCAUACCAUUUCGUAUUAGUUAAAUAAAUUAAAGGAAUGAUGAUUGUUAUGUAGGUUAUAAAACUUCUUUACACUAAUAUUUCAUAUUAAACAAAUUAUAAUACUUUAACCUAUUUUAUAAUCGCUAAAUAAUAACUCAAUAUAAAUAACGUAUAUUUUUUUUCUUGAUAUAUGCUUUUCCUCCUUGUAAGUUAUUAAGUUUAAAAUAGAGAAUAAGUUUGAGGUAGUUUUUCUAUCUCAUUAUCUACUUCUUUAUAUAGCUUUUAGUCAUGGUGAUUUUCUUGGCAUUUCAAUUUUUUCUUUAUUCUUUUAUUACUUCUAGUUGAGGGCAAAUGUUGAAGGAUCGAUAUUUUAAUUUUUGGCAGAAAAAUUCUGAAUUCUAGGUGCCAGCUUGUGGAGGUGGAAAAUGCAAAGAGAUACUUUUGGAGGUGAGAAGGCAUCUCUCACAGUUGGAUUUGGAGACCGAGAGAGAAUUAAGGAAGGCUUCUAGAGCUUGAGGGAGCCAAUUGUGAUAGUGAUCUAGUUUAUUUUCCUUUUUAAUUUCUAAGCAUUUUGUUUGUACUUUAGCCCUUAAAACUGAACUAGUUGUUUUGUAUGAAGUUGAUGAAUCUUCACAAUAAUGAGAAUUGAGAUGUUUGGUUAUUGUUUCUUGAUUUUUGGGUCAUGCUCUUUGAUUAUGUAGAAAUAGUAAACCGUGUUUGAUCUAGGGAUUUUGAUGUGCUUUUGUACAUUAGUCUCAUGAUUUCAUUUAAGGAAAUAAGUUAUAUGAGAUUAAAAGGAUUCAUUGCCAAGGAAUUGAAUGUGAAUUACUGCAGCAAAAACUGAUCUUAAACUUGGGCAAAGAUGUUUGGAGUAGGAAGAGCUAUGAUGCUUGCCAGAUGGGUAAUGCUAACUGCACCCUCUGGUAGAGUGGUGUGAGCAGCGGUGAUUGGCAAAGUUGGCACUGAUGGAGGAGUGGUGAUUGAAGUGCUCAUCACGCAAUCAGAAAUAUCCUAACAUCAAAUAUGCCUUUAUUCCACUGCCCACGCAUCUUCUAGAAGACACGAGGCUAUCAUAUGGUUUGCGCUUUUACUACGUAUGGUGCAUGUAUGCAUGAUGCAUGAUGCAUGAUGCCAACCAUGCUGUACGUUCCUUCCUCUUGGACCUUUGGUGCUUACUUCCUGCAGACCCCCCUGUGUCAUUCGUACCCCCUGGUGAAAUCCGUAUCAAUGUCCUUCAUUCUCUCCUGCUGUAUUAGCUCUCUAACAGGUCGAUAAGCCGCAGUGAUGCACAAAUUCUGUUCACAGAAAUUAACAUCAAUUUAUUUUCCCAAAAAAAAUAAAACCAGUAAAUCGCCCCCAAAAUUCACCUUAAGAUCACUUCCAGUAUAUCCUUCUGUCAUGGUUGCCAGCUCUUUGAAGUCUAAGUUUUCAUGUUUUUCUUUAGCCAAAAGAGUCUUCAAGAUCAUUUCCCUGUUCUCAACAGAUGGAAGACCAACCAAGAUCCUGCUCAACAAUAAAAAGGUGAGUGUUAUGAUUCACAAGUUACAAGAGCAAUAAUAGUUGAACUAAAAAGCAUUAAAUAUUGAUGUUGCACAGUUGAAAACACUUGAUUUUAUUGUAUCCAUAAAAGACAUCUGACAGACUCAAUUUGUGAACAAUUUAAAUGCCAAAUUAAGAGGCAAGAACUGUUGCUAAAAGAGUUAAGGCAAGCUACAGAAAGAUAUCUGUCUUCAAGGGGGGGCAUAUGGUAUUGUCAGCUAUAUAGAAAAUAAGAAUAGACACCUCAAAAGGAAAUUGAUGAAAUGACCACUUGUUAUGAAUUUUCUUGUUUUCUUAUGGUCAAACAUAUGCUCAUCAUAAUGAUGGAGAAAUGCAGUCUUUGUUCUGAUUGCAAAAAUGUUGUUGCUGAAUAGAAGCAACACAUGAUCAUGCAAACAAUAAGACAAAGGUGUGGUCCUACCUUCUCUCAAACCGUCUUAUGAUAGCUUCAUCAAGGUCAAAUGGCCUGUUGGUUGCUGCAAGAACCAAAAUUUGCUCAUUAGGUCCUGUUAAUAGCCCAUCCCAGUGUGUCAUGAAUUCAUUUUUAAUCUUCCUCAUAGCCUCAUGCUCUCCUACUCUAGUCCUCUGUCCAAGCAUGCUGUCAACCUCGUCAACAAAGAUAAUUGUUGGGGCAACCUUAGCUGCCAGUGUGAACAGAGCUCGGACAUUCUUUUCAUCCUCUCCAAACCAUUUUGAUGUGAUGGUUGACAUUGAGACAUUAAUGAAACUUGCCUUCCUGGAACAGACUCAAUCCCACUACUCCAAGCAUACCUCGUUAGAUUCAUUAGUCUUCAGAUUCCCACUACUCUUGCCUUCCUGGAACAGACUCAAUCCAUGGGACAAGCUGUUCACAUCCAAGAUCAGUAACUAGAAAAUCUGGUCACGUAAUUGAUGGUGUCUUUACAUAGCCAUUGGACAAGUAUUUACCUAUUUGCUGAUAUAACUAGCUUUCCAUUUCCAGUUCGUUUGAAAUUAAUGGUGUGUGUAUAGUAAUUUGUUUAUAUAUAUAUAUAUAUAUAUAUAUAUAUAUAUAUAUAUAUAUAUAUAUAUAUUAAAAGAGAUAUUAUUUUUGUGAUACAAUGGCUAAGUUGUUUUCAUAAAUUAUAAAAGAAAUUUAAGAUUUAUUACCCAUUAAUAACUAAAUGUGCAAAUGUAGCAUGCUCAUUAUGUAGGGUCACGAUUUCUUGCUUGGUUGAGUGGUCGGGUGAUCUAGUGUUCAUAUUCAAUACUUUAUUUCAAUAAAACUAUGUCCUAUGUAAUCUUUUAAAAUUUGGAUGAAAAGUUUUGAUGAUAAUAAAAUAAAAUAGAGAUAUAAUUAGAGAAAAUAAAUUGUGUACUAACAAUGUUAAAUUAUUUUAUACAUGUCAUUCAUUUAUUUAGUGAUGUGUAUAUGAUAAGUUUGUGAAGUUUUACAAAAGUUAUAUUAAAAUUAAUUAAUAAUAUAAAACUAAAUAUUCAAUACUUAAUCAUAAAACAUUGAUGAUCUUCAUUAUUACUAUAAAUUUUUUUCUUAUAAAUUAUUGUGAUUUUAAUCUAUCGUUAACUUUAUGUUAUUAUUCUUCUUACUUCAAUUUCAACAAAUUUCUUUUUAUAGGUAUAAGAAUUUUAUUUAUUUUUCAUUUACACAUUUUGGAAACUAACAUUCUGUUUUUUUUUUUUUUAAUUUUCAGUCUCUUGAAGACACUAGUCCUCUUGCAUGACCCCAAUGUCUAAGCUUGUUAUUGCUUGGAAAAGGCAAUAAGUUGGAAAUUAUGAUUGUUUUAUAUUUUUUCAGUAUCAAUUGAGAUACUUAUAUCAUGUUUCGAUAAUUUUAAAAAGACUCUAGUUAAUUUUAAAAAGACUCUAGUUUUAUUAGCAUUAUGCUUGUAAUAAAAUAUAAAUUACAAUGUAUUAUAUCAAUAAUUUGUGCAUAUUUCUCUUAAUCAAAAUUUUGGUUUUGACAAAAACAGUAUUGAGCUAAACAUUUUGCCAAGGGCCUCAUUUUCAAUAUUUUAAGAAUAAAAAAAUUAGAAAAUUCCAUGCACAUAUUUUGUAUGAAUGAAUCUAUCAUCAUCAUUUUGUCAUAAUUAGACAAAUAAUUUGACACCAUAUGUUUCAAUUAUAUGGAGAUGGCUCCAAUUUUCAAACUAUGCAUGUCUUUUAUUUUAAGAAAGAAACAAUAAUAAUAAUAUAUAUUAUUAAUUAUUAAUCUAUACUAAUAAUAAACAAAAUAUCUCAAUUUGGUAUCCAUAUUAAAUUAGAUAAUUUUACCUUUAAAUCAUUUUUUAAAUUUUAAAAAAUUUCUUCUAACCUACUAUAACUUUCCACUACUAUAUUAUUAAUAUUUUUUUAUUCUCACGUUUUUUAUUAAAUAUAUUUAAUUUUUAUCUUUUUAAAUUUUUUUUCUUAUUUUUUAAAAUUUAGAAAGACGUGAUCUAUCCUUUAGUUCUUAAUUUAAGAAUACCCUUUUAGUGUCCAUAAAUUUUAGACGAUUAUAUUCUUUAUUAAUUAGUCAACUUCUGUUAUCCUCUCCUAAUAACUAUCCACCACUCUUAUGUUAGUUAUUCUAUCCACCACGAUUAUUUUCAUCAAUCAAAAUAUAACCCAAAGAAAAUGCUGAAGUUACAUAACCCGAUGAUAGAAUGCAGGAUCUCUAACAAACUCCUGAUAUGACUCCUUAUGAUCAUUUUAAAGGGUUAAGGGCGGGGAAAUGUCUGAAGUAGUAUAAUUGUGAAAAGUUAAUAUUGUGACUACACAUUUGAUGUUGUGAUAGAUGUAUCCCUGACCUAAUCAUAGAUGAAGUUAGAUUUACAAAAUUCGAUUGAUGUUGCACAUCUGGAUAAGCAGUACAGUUUAAAGACAAUUCGAUUUACAAAAUUCUAUUGUCAUAUAUAAUACAGCAUACCUAAAAUGUUUGGAGUAAUAUAUUCCUACUUCCUACAAAGCCAUUGCAUCUUCCAAAACCAUGCAUGACAUAACAUAAAUUCUCUAAUACUGGUGCUCAUUGGUUUGUAGACAACUCAAACCAAAACCGAGAACCCAUUCCUAAACAUAAUGCAUGAUGAUCUACACGUCCUUUAGAGAAUAGAUGUGUGUCGCAGAACUUGUGCUUUUCUGGGAAUCAUGAUAUCUCUGCGACAUUUGGGUUAUAGUGGGACAUCUAGGCAUGCUUUGAGUUCAACAUCUCUGGUGAAGGACUCCUUCCUUUGUUGAAAUGUAUCAUUGAAGAUGAAUGGUCGCAAAUCCAAUAAUAAAAUUUCUAGGUUUUAAAAAUCCACUUUUAACUAGUUCAUUUUAGUCCUCUCCGAACCAUUUUAAUGUGAAUGAUGGUUGACAUUGAGACAUUAAUGAAACUUGCACAGCAGCUUCAUUUGCAAUUGGCUUUGCCAGCAUUUUAUUUGCAGUACCAGGAGGCCCAAAAAGCAAUAUACCUCUACAUGGCUUUAUAUUAGAAGCAUUACCAACUCUUGAAGUGAUUAUUUGAUCUCAUCCAAUGCACCAACAUCUGCAAGUCUAACCCCUAUUUCGUUUUCAUGGAUAAGCUCUGGUCUUAUACGCUUCUCAAACUCGUUGUCACUUGUCAAGAACUUCCUGCAAGCAAGCAAUUACUAUAUAUAAGUUUAAGUAGACAAGAAGCACAGAAAAGUGCAAACUACAAUUGUUCCAUCAUCUAAAAGAGGGUGACGCUCUAAUCUGAAAUAUAGUGCUAUGUUUAACCAGAAAACUAAUAUGAAUGAUAACAAAUCAACAAUAAGUGUUACGUGCACGGUGCACAUAAUAAGCACUAGGUAACAUUUGUAUAACAAAAUAAGCUAUCUUUGAUCACAAAAAGUACAAAUUAAAGUGUGCUAUCAAAUUCAUUGUUUGAUCUACUUCAGAAAAAAAAUCACGAACUUAUCAGGAAAGAUGCAUCACUCAUGUUGCCGAUUCAUUUCAUUUCAUUGAUGAGCUUCUUUGUCGCCGAUGAGAUCCUUAGAAUUUUGUUGUUGAUGUUUGUUGCGCUAUCAUUUCAUUUCGUUUUUAGUUUAUCAUCACCUUCCUCGUUGCAUUUUCAUUUUUUUAACUCUGCCAUCGCCCCACCGCCGUGCAGCUGUGCUGCCUUCGCCCCGCCGCCAGGCCCCUGUGCAAGAAGCGUCAGGGCCCGCGCCACCCUCCAUCGUGGUACCCACCUUUUCUGUGCCCUUUUGAGGCUUAGGCACCAAGGGUUUUCAAACCCUUGUGCUUACUUUCGGGUUGGGCCGGGUCAUUUUAACUUCUAAUCUAAGCCCAAUAAAAAAAGCCGAAAAAAGAAAAAAAAUGUUGAACGGCUUAGUUUAUUAAGUCUGAAACAAAAACAAAAGUUAUUUACACCCUAUUUUUACACAUACACCUUCUUUUAUUUUGGACCUAGUUCAUUUUUGAGAAGCCUAAAAGAAAAGAAAUACUGCUAGCCAUACACAACUCUUUUUGCACAUACACCCUCUUUCAUUUCGGCUUAACUCAUUUGCUUAAAUCUGAAAUAAAAUAAAUAUCGCUGCCUUUACACAUACACCCCUUGCAUUUUGGGCCUAGUCUGUUUUCAAGAAGUCUUAGAUAAAAUAAAUAUUGCUAGCUACACCCCUUUCUCCAUGUAUGCUUCUCAAUGUAUGCAAUUUGACUUUGACCCUAAAUUAAUAAAUGAAUGAUAAUAAUAAUAAUAAUAAUAAUAAUAAUAAUAAUAAUAAAUUGAUAGAAAACUCUUUAUUUUUAUUUAAUUUUUCUAAUUGUCUCUAUUAUUUAUCUUAUUCGUCAAUUUGAUUGUUUCUUCAUUCCCCAAUUAGUUAGUUUAAGUUAUAAUGUGCUCUAAAUAUCCCGCUACAUAUAUUAUUUUCCCCCACAUUUCAACCCCGUAACCUUAAUUACUUAGUAUAUUUUUCACUUUUAUUCUAUCUUUUUCUAUUCUCAUUCGAUUUAUUUGAUUAGUUAACACUGUUAUUCAUUUAUUUUUGCAAUUUUGCAUUAGUAUUCAUUGGUAUGCACUUACGUUUUGUACACUACAUGUUGAGUCUCUGAUUUGCUUGAUAGUAUUUCAAUAAAAUAUGAGUAAAUUUAGUAAAUGUCAUGACUUUACAAAGUUUACAGCAAACCCAACAUCUUUUCUAAAGAGGAAAAAGAAUACUCAAAUAAAUAAUCAAUCAAUUUAUCUUUUUUAUGUUUUGUGCACCUCAUGUUGGAUUUUCGACUUACUUGAUGAUGUUUUAAUAACAUGUGAGUAAAUUUUGCUAAUGUCGUGCAAAGUCUCCAACUUUCUUGACUUCCUAACGUUUAUCACAACCAAAAUCUUUUCUAGAAAAGGGAGUAAAAAUAUUCAAAUAAAUAAACAUUCAAUUCUUUUUUUUCUCAAUGAAUAUUACACAUUACUCGAGAUUGUUUCAAUGCCUUAAGUGAUUCUCUCUAUUAUUUUUUUGAAAUUUAAUAUUAUUUCAAGGUCCAAUACUUUAAUGAUUCUUAUUCACACAAUUAAAUACAAAUCAUUCAAAAGAAGAUAAAAUCAACCAACACACAAGUUAUUUUUUUUUACCCAAAGAACUAUAUAAGUAUGAUUUCCUCAUUACACCUGGGGAUAUGUAUAAGUGAGGGAAAACCCCUUGUUGACCUAAAACACUAGGAAAUAAAAACAUAAAAUUUCUUCUUUACUAAAAAUAAAGAAUUUCUUUCUUUUUUUAAAUUAAACAAAAUAUAACAAACAUAAUUCAUGUUCUCAAGGGAAGAUAAAUACUUAAGAAGUUGCUUUUAUUUUUAUUAGAGUGAAUUAAAGGUUGUUAUCAUUAUGACAGAUACGUGAGGUGUUAAUACCUUUCACGUACAUAAAUAACUCCUGAAUCCUUUUUUUUACCAAAUUGUAAAUCAUUCCUUUUUUUUUUCCGAUGUUUUUCUUAAAUAAACAUUGAUAGCGAUUCUCAAAUUUUCUUUUGAAAAACUCACUCAACCGCCGCAUUGUGACAAUGACAAUAUUAUUUACAAAAGAAAUUAUAGUAAUAAUAUGUAGUGGAAAACACAAAUCAUAUUUCUUUUUUUAAAAAAAGAGAAUAAAUUCAUAUUUCUUGUUUUCAGUGUUACUUACAAAAAUGUUACUUUUGAUUCCUAUUCUCAAAAUUUCAAAUAAGAGGGGAAAAAGUUGUAAAAAAAUAUACCAAAAAAGUUAUAAUUUUUUAUUCAAAAAAGAUAAGAUGUUACUUUCAUGUUUGGUUUGGUUUAAAAUAAAAAUUAUGAAACUUAAAACUACAACUUAUAACUGAUUAUCAAGAAAUAACAAUAGGUUUGGGCAAUAGGCUGAUGCAUCAGUAAUAAAAAGCUAACAACUACCAAAUUCUAAUUCAGGAUGUAAACAAAACUCAACCUGAAUUGGAUUAGAAUAAAAAAUACCAAAACUAAAGUAAUUAAAAUCCUCGUUCAAGUAUACAGUAUACACAUCUAGAGAAACAACACCAAAGUUUCAAGAUACAACCAUUAAGUUAAUUCCGGUUCAAGUUGUCAUUUCAGCAAACACUAUAAUUUUCAAAAGCAAAAACAAUUCUCCCUAAUUACCACCAAGUUUGGUUGGCGACAAACCAUAUAAGUUUGAAUGGUUAAAGACUUAGGAUUUUCUUUGGUGCAAGAUAUGAAGAUCAAUAAAUAUUAUCUGGAUUACGAAUUAUAUACUAUGGCAGAUUUAAUAAUAAAAUAGUCUUAUCAUUCUUAUAAUUAAAAGAAAAAAAUAUGUUAUCUUUUAUUUUUUUAUAUAAGACCAUACGUAGGUAGUAUAUUAUACAGAACUUACAUAAGCACCACUUUUGUUGACACAGAAUUCCUUCAAAAGAAAUUAUCAAUCAAAAUCAAUGAAUUAGUAAUAGUCUGUAUAUUACGUUAGCAAAAUAUAGACAAAGGUCAAUGUGGGUAUCUUGCGAAUUUUCUAAGUCUUUUUGUUUUGUUCCCAAGUAUAUGGGUCAUGUCAAAAAAGAUAAGACGUUUUCCUUAAAUAAACAUUGAUGACGACUUCUCAAUUUUCUUUUGAAAAACUCACUUGACCGCCACAUUGGGACAAUGACAAUAUUAUUUACAAAAGAAAUUAUAAUAAUAAUAAUAAUAUGUUGUGGAAAACAUAAAUCAUAUUUCUUUUUUUUAAAGAAAAUAAAUUCAUAUUUCUUGUUUUCAGUGUUACUUACAAAAAUGUUACUUUUGAGUCCUAUUCUCAAAAUUUUAAAUAAGAGAAAAAUGUUGUAAAAAAGUAUACCAAAAAAGUUAUAAUUUUUUAUUCAAAAAAGAUAAGAUGUUACUUCCAUGUUUGGUUUGGUUUAAAAUAAAAAUUAUGAAACUUAAAAACUGAUUAUCAAGAAAUAACAAUAGGUUUGGGGAGUAGGCUCAUGCAUCGAUCAGUAAUAAAGAAAAAGCCAACACCUAUCAAAUUCUAAUUCAGAAUGUAAACAAAACUAAACCUGGAUUGGAUUAGAAAAAAAAAUACUCAAACUAAAGUAAAAUCGUCGUUCAAGUAUAUAGUAUACACAUUUAGAGAAACAACACCAAAGUUUCAAGAUACAACCAUUAAGUUAGUUCCGGUUCAAGUUGUCAUUUCAGCAAACACUAUAAUUUUCAAAAGCAAAAACAAUUCUCCCUAAUUACCAUUACCAAGUUUGGUUGGUGACAAACCUUAUAAGUUUGAAUGGUUUAAGACUUAGGAUUUUUUUCUGUGCAAGAUAUCAAGAUCAAUAAAUAUUGUCUGAAUUAUGAAUUAUAUACUAUCACAGAUUUAAUAAUAAAGUAGUCUUAUCAUUCUUAUAAUUAAAAGAAAAAAAUAUGUUAUCUUUUAUUUUUUAUAUAAAAGACCGUACGUAGGUAGUAUAUUAUACAGAACUUACAUAAGCACCACUUUUGUUGACACAGAAUUCCUUCAAAAGAAAUUAUCAAUCAAAAUCAAUGAAGUAAUAGUCUGUAUAUUACGUUAGCAAAAUAUAGACAAAGGUCAAUGUGGGUAUCUUGCGAAUUUUCUAAGUCUUUUUGUUUUGUUCCCAAGUACAAAGUCUAUUUAUGGGUCAUGUCACUUCACAAAAUUUUCCACAUUUGUUGUUUAGCGCAAUGACUGGAAUCUUAAAUUCUAAGUCUUUAUGGUUUUGUUUGGUUCCUACAUAGUCAUAUAAAUGGUCAUGUCACUAUAAAAAAAAUUUCACAUCUAUUAUUUUUGUAGGUAGUGCGAUGACUGGAGUAUUUUCUACGUCUUUCUUUGUUUUGUUCCAAUGGAGUCGUGUAAGGACCAUAUUACUUAUAAAAAAAUUUUAUACUUAAUUGUUUUUUAUGUAAUGUGAUGUUGAUUGGAGUGCUUCUUAAGUCUUUCUUUGUUUUGUUUCCGGAAAGUCAUACAAGGGCAUGCCACUUAAUAAAAAUUAAUUUCCAAUUCUCUGUUUGCAAAGUCAAUAAAUUUAUUCUAGAUGAAGAUAUAUAAUCACAGAACAUUUAGGAAAGCUACACAAAUGGAUGAGAAGAUUUAGAAGUUGUUGCGGAAGAUGCUGUAAAGGAAAAUACUUGAGGAAGCUCUGUUAUGAAUUAAAAUUAAAAAUGAGACCAAAUAAAUUCAGACACGACAUAGGCUUCUCUUGGUAUUUUUUAAUUUGUUAAGUAUAAGGAAUACUUUGUAAUUAACAUAUUCUGAAUCCAACAUAUAGCAAAAAUUGAUGAAAUAGAAAAUUCCUCCCUGUGACGUAAUAGAACUGCAAAUGAUGUAACUAUGAUAAGUCUUAUGGCACAAAAUAUUAAUAUGAACACGUACUCAAUUUGUAAUUCCUUAGAGAUUAAGGUGUAUAUAUAUUUCCAAAAAAAAUGUCAAGGUAGGUUAAAAAGAAAAAGAAAGGGGUGUAUAUAUAUUAAGUUUUAAUCUCAAUGAUAUAUUAUUUUUAAUCUUAAACCAAUAUUUUUUAUUUUUUGUUUCAAUUUUAGUCUUCAAACCGAUCUUUCUCUUAAGAUUAUGAUAUGACUCAUCUCCACUCAAACAAAUAAAACACACAAUAGACUUUAUUUUGAAUCUUUCUCCCCACACAGACAGAAAAAAAAAAGGCUCACACCAUUCACAUUUUUACAUGUAUAAUAGAAUAUAGUGGCUUUUUCCAAUUUUUGAAUGUCAUUACUAUUUUUAAGUACGAUAUUCUAUUAGCUAUAUUUUUCAAUCAUAUAUUAUUUUCAUGAAAAUUGAUGAUAUAUUUUUUCAAGUCCUAUUAAUUAAUAAAUUUAUUCUAUAUUUGAUAUUUGAUAUAUUGAUGUAUAGUAAUAAUAAAAUUAUAGCCAAUUAAGAAUUUUAAAAAUUGUAGAAAGUAUUGAUUUUUGGUGUGAAUGGAAUUGUUUUAAUAUAUUGAAUAUUUUAGUUUUUCUCUCAAUAUUCUCUUCUUCCUUUUUUUGAAUAUAUAUAUAUAUAUAUAUAUAUAUAUAUAUAUAUAUAUUCUUCUUCCUUAAGAACAUGAACAUGCUCACUUUAAUAAAAAAAAUUAUUUAUGGGUCUAUUGAUAUCUAGGGCAAAUAGAUUAAUUAACUUUAGAUUUGAAUGCCCUCUUCAAGUAUGAUAUACUUUUUUAAACCUAAUUUUUUCUUCUUCAAUAAGAACAUGGUCACUUUUUCCAACUAAACCCAAUUUGAAUGCCAAUUCAAGCACGGUAUGAUUUUAAUGUCAAUUACAUAUAAUUUGAAGUCCUGCACUUGUUUAGGAUGAUUUGGAUGAAAAUAAAUUGGGAAGAAGUGAAGGAAAAUGAAAUGGAAACUUUUGGUUUAGAUGGGAUGGAAAUUAAAAUGAAGUAAAAAUAAAUUUAUUGGAGUCCAAAAAAAAAAUCCUCAAAAACAGUGGUGAAAUGGAGGAUUAUGUUUGAAGUAAUAUUAAUUUUACGGGAGGAUUCCUAAAUAAUAUAAAAUUCACUCAUUUUUUUCAUUUUUAUUUAUAAAAAAAUAGAUAAAUUUUCCACUUCGUUUCUCUCUUAUUUCUAUCUUUUUUUUUCUCUUUCAUUUUUUUCUAUUUCAUCUCUAAUCCAAAUAAAGUGCAAAAGUAACGGAUGAGUUAAUCUUUUUAAAAGUUUUUUUUUCUUUCAAAGUGCUAUUUUUUGCUUUCAUAAAUUACAAAUUUUGUGCUUAUUAAUUUUCUAAUUAUUUUAAAUAUGAAAUUGCAUUACUAUAUACGAUCAACUUUAUGUGACUUGUUGACUGGAGACUUUUCCAAGUCUCCCUUGAUAUAUAUGGUUUAGAAUGUUACAUUAUUUUUAAGUCUUUUUUAUUUAUUUAUUUGGUUAUAUAUUAAAUUGAAAAAUAAAAAGAAAAGUGGGAACUUAACUAGGAACUGUGCUGUUGUUGUGUGGGAACCUAAGUACAUUUUAGCAUCUUUAAACUGAAAACAAUUUAGUCAAAAUGCGUAACAAAAUAUAGGUCAAGUAAUUAGUGGACAAAAUCUUGCUGUCACCAUAGAUUUAGGUUGUAUUUAGGUCAAUUACUUAAAAUAUUGUUAAUUGAUAGUUGAAACUUUAGAUGAAAUUAAAAAGUUUGAAUUAUUCUAAAAAUAGUUGUGGUAGAAGCAAACAUGACCACAGAAGUCCUAACUAUUAUUUAGACGUGUUAUAGUACCACCAAUACGAGGUCUGAUUGGAAAUUAGCUGUGUGUCGAACCCAUCUCAUAGCGUGCAUGCGUGCUCCAAAUCUCUUUAACAAAUUAAAUACCAAGCUUUUUUUAUCCAAUUUCUUCUUUUUUAUCUUUUGUUUAUCCGUAAGAAUCAAAGAUAAUAACAAAAGAUAUAUAAUAAUUUAUAAAUCUUAUUCAACCAGCUAAACUAAAUCCCCUAGCUAUCCAAAUCCGUUUAACUUUUAAAUAACAAAAUAAAAGUUAUACACACUUUUAUAUUUCAACAUUUUUACCAUUAUUCAUAGUUUUAGUUACUUGUUUAUAUUUUAGAAACGUCAUAAUACUUACGUCUUUUGCUUUUAUAUUUAUAACAUAAAUAUAUAGAAUAUAACAUGUAUAAUAUAAAUAAUAUAAAAAGAGCUGAUAAUUAAAAAAAACGGGAAAGAAAUAAUUAUAAAAUAAACAUAACUAAUCAGACUAUUUGCAUCAAAAGAAAUUAUUUGAAUAUAUUUUACAUACUUGGAAGAAUUUAUGAGUGGCCCAACCGUUGAGAAAUGUGACUUCCAUUAACCAUCCCGAUGUUAUAUAUAUGCAUGCCUAUUGGUAGUGCUAAAGUCAUCAGUAUCAUUCUAAUUCUCAUAUUCAGUGGAUUCAUUUCAUCAAUCACUUUGCCUUUCUGAUCAUAAUCACCAAAAUGCCAACCAUGAAUCCAGUUCGUUUCAAAUACAUGCAAGCCAUAAUAAUAUUUAUGAUGUUGCAGGUUCGUUCAUGUUUUCUCAUUUGAAUGUAUUUGUGAAAAUCGCAAUUCAAAUCUCAUUUGAUUUCAAUGAAUUUCAAUUUCCUUAAAUUUUUAUUCACAGUUUUGUCAUUUUUUUCUUCUUAAAAUAGAUCAUUCUCCUAUGUUUUGUUCAUUGUUUUUUGGGUUCAUAAUGUUUCGGAUUGAAUUAGAGGUUGAAGCACCGUUUGUUUUGCCCCCUUAUUUUUUGUUUUCAAGGUUGAAUCAUGAUAUAUGUAGAUGUUGAACCAUCAAAUAUGAUAGUGGCAACAAGGCAUAAAUAGUGAUGACAAGGAUAAUGACAACAACAAUAAAGACAAAGACAAUAAUAAUAUUACAUUCUAUGUUUAUAAUUAAGUUUUAAUCUCAAUAUAUAUUAUUUUUAAUUUUAAUUCAAUAAUUUCAAUGAUAUAUUAUUUUUAAUCUUAAUUCAAUAAUUUUCAUUUUUCCCAUUUUAACCUUCAAAAUGAUCUUUCUCUUAAGAUUCAAAUAUAAUCCAUUUCGACUUAAACAUACAAUAAAUUUUAUUUUCAAUCUCUCUCCGUACGCACACACAAAAAAGGCUCACACCAUGCAUACACUUUUUUAUGUGUAGAGUAGAAUAUAGUGGCUUUUUUCAAUUUUUGAAUGUCAUUACUCUUUUUAAGUUCUAUUAGCUAUAUUUGUCAAUCAUACAUUAUUUUCAUGACAAAUUGAUGAUAUAUUUUUUCAAGUCAUCCCUUGAAAGUGUCAUAGUAUUAAUUUUUUAUUAUAUUAAGGAGUACAUAUUUUGGUUGAUAUAUAAGACAAAUAUAAAAUUGAUAUUAAGAAAUUUAUUUUAUAUUUGAUAUUUAAUAUAUUGAUGUAUAGGAAUAAUGAAAUUAUAGCCAAUUAAGAAUUUUAAAAAUUAUAGAAAGUAUUGGGUUUUGGUGUGAAUUUAAUUGGAAUUGAAUUGUUUUAAUUUAUUGAAUAUUUUAGUUCUUUUUUCUCAAUAUUCUCUUCUUCCUUUUUUUAAAGCAUAUAUAUAUAUAUAUAUAUAUAUAUAUAUAUAUAUAUAUAUAUAUAUAUAUAUAUAUAUAUAUAUAUAUAUAUAUUUAAUAAUAAAAAAAUCAUUUAUGGGUCUAUUAGUAUCUAGGACAAAUAGAUUAAUUAACUUUAAAUUUGAAUGUCCUCUUCAAGCAUGGUAUAUGUUUUUAAACCCAAUUUCCUCUUCUUCGUUAAGAACAUGGUUACUUUUUUCAACUAAACCUACUUUGAAUGCCACUUCAAGCACGUUAUGAUUUUAAUGUCAAUUACAUAUAAUUUGAAGUCCUCCACUAGGAUCAUUUGGAAGGAAAUAAAUUGGGAAGAAGUGAGGAACUUUUGGUUUAGAUGGACUGAAAAUAAAAUGAAGUAAAACAAAUUUAGUGGGGUAAAAAAAAUGAAAUGGGAACUUUUGAUUUAGAUGGGAUGGAAAUGAAAAUGAAGUAAAAACAAAUUUAGUGGGGUCCAAAAAAAAAUUGAUUCCUCAAAAACAGUGGUAAAAUGGGAGGAUUUUGUGAGAAGCAAUAUUGAUUUUAUGGGAGGAUUCCUAAAAAAAACACUCAUUUUUUUACUAUUUCUAUUUAAACAAUAUAAAUUCUCUACCUUGUUUCUCUUUUAUUUCUAUCUUUUUUUCUCUUUCAUUUUUCUCUAUUUCAUCUCUAAUCCAAACAAAGUGCAAAAGUUACGGAUGAGUAAUCUUUUUAAUUUUUUUAAAAAACUUUUUUUUUGCAACUUCUUGACUGGAGACUUUUCCAAGUCUUCCCUUGAUAUAUAUCGUUUAGAAUGCUACAUUAUUUUUAUUUAAUUGGUUAAAUAUUAAAUUGGAAAAUAAAAGAAAAAUGGGAACAUAGCAGCAAUUGUGCCAUUGUUGUGUAGUGAUAGUCACUUUUACUAAUAUAAUAUAUAUAUAUAUAUAUAUAUAUAUAUAUAUAUAUAUAUAUAUAUAUAUAUACACUACAUUAGUUAAGUACAUUUUAGCAUUUUUAAACUGAAAAUCUUUCGGUCGAAAUGCAUAACAAAAUAUGGGUCAAGUAAUUAGUGCACAAAAUCUUGCUCAUAAUUUUUGCCACCAUAGAUUCAGGUUGUGUUUUGGACGAUUACUUAAAAUAUUGCUAAUUGAUAGUUAAAAUUGUAGAUGAAAUUAUAAAGUUUGAAAGUUGAAAAGUUAAAAACUGAAAGCUAAAAAUAUAUAAGUCAAUGGAUUCAAUUAUAUUUGAAGUAUUUUAUAAUAUUAUCUAAUAAAUAAAUUUUCUCCUAACUUCUCUUUUAAAUAUAUACCAAUUUUAUUGGUUAAUGUUUGUAAAAAAAUAAUAUGAACUAAUAAAAUUGUUACAUAUUUAAAAGAGAAGUUAGGAACAAAAUUUAUUUUAAAAUUAAAAUAAAAAUUCAAUGGCAUUUGGAUGAAAGUUUUCGUUCAAAAAUUUCCCUUAAAAUAAUUAUUUUUCUAAAGUGUUGUAUGCCGAACCCAUUUCAUAGCGACCAUGUUUAUAUGCUUCAAAUCUUUUCAGCAAAUUAAAUACCAAGCUAAGAUUUUUCUUUUAUCCAAUUCUCCCCUUCUUCUCCUUUAUUUUUUUUAUCUAUUGAAAUCAAAGAUAAUAUAAAAAAAUUUAUAUUAAUUUCCAACUAAUUAAAUUAACCCCCUAGACUAUUCAAAUUAUUUUAACUUUUAAAUAACAAAAUAAAAGUUAUACACACAUUUUUAUUAAAAGUAUGAAUAUCUAAAACUUUUUUUUACUGUUAUUUAUUAAAAGUAAAAAAUAAACUCCAGUUGGUUUGAAAUUCAUGGAAGGCAUAAUAAUAUUAAUGAUGUUUCAGGUUGUUGUUUCUGCUCAAGACCAUAUUAUGUGCAUUCAGACUGAGAGGGAAGCACUCCUCCAAUUCAAGGCUGCACUUCUGGAUCCCUAUGGCAUGCUCUCUUCUUGGACCACUUCUGAUUGCUGCCAAUGGCAAGGGAUUCGCUGCACUAACCUCACCGCCCAUGUUCUAAUGCUCGACCUUCACGGUGGUGAGUUUAAUUAUAUGAGCGGAGAGAUCCACAAGUCGUUGAUGGAGUUGCAACAAUUAAAGUAUUUAAACCUCAGUUGGAAUUCUUUUCAAGGCAGAGGAAUCCCAGAGUUUCUUGGUUCUCUCACCAACUUGAGAUACCUUGAUCUGGAAUAUUGUCGUUUUGGCGGAAAAAUUCCAACUCAGUUUGGCUCUCUUUCUCAUUUGAAAUACUUAAAUCUUGCUUUGAAUUCUCUGGAGGGUUCAAUCCCUCGUCAACUUGGAAAUCUCUCCCAGUUGCAGCAUCUUGAUCUCAGCGCCAAUCAUUUUGAAGGAAAUAUACCCUCUCAAAUUGGAAAUCUCUCCCAGUUGCUGCAUCUUGAUCUCAGCUACAAUUCUUUUGAAGGAAGUAUACCGUCCCAACUUGGGAACCUUUCAAAUUUGCAGAAGCUUUAUCUUGGAGGCGGUGCUCUCAAAAUUGACGAUGGAGAUCAUAGGCUGUCUAAUCUCAUUUCUUUAACCCAUCUUUCCGUGUUACAGAUGCCUAAUCUCAACACUUCUCAUAGCUUCCUCCAAAUGAUUGCCAAGCUACCAAAACUUAGAGAACUGAGUUUAAGUGAAUGUAGCCUUCCCGAUCAGUUUAUCCUUCCAUUGAGGCCCUCUAAAUUCAAUUUUUCUAGUUCCCUUUCCGUCCUUGAUCUUUCCUUCAACAGCCUCACGUCAUCAAUGAUACUCCAGUGGCUGUCCAACGUCACUUCCAACCUUGUUGAGCUUGACCUUAGUUAUAACCUCUUGGAGGGUUCCACAUCAAACCAUUUUGGCCGUGUAAUGAAUUCUCUUGAGCACCUCGACCUCUCAUAUAAUAUAUUCAAGGCUGACGAUUUCAAAUCCUUCGCGAAUAUAUGCACCUUACAUUCUUUAUACAUGCCAGCAAACCAUUUGACUGAAGACCUUCCAUCAAUCCUUCAUAAUUUGUCUAGUGGUUGUGUUAAACACUCAUUACAAGAUUUGGAUUUGUCAGAUAAUCAAAUCACUGGCUCUUUACCCGACCUUUCAGUAUUCUCAUCUCUAAAAUCAUUGUUUCUUGAUCAAAAUCAAUUAAGGGGAAAGAUACCUGAAGGCAUCCGCUUACCGUUUCAUUUGGAAUCUCUGUCAAUCCAAUCAAACUCUUUAGAAGGUGGAAUUCCCAAAUCAUUUGGGAACUCAUGUGCUUUGAGAUCACUGGAUAUGUCUGGUAACAAUUUGAAUAAAGAGCUUUCGGUGAUAAUUCAUCAAUUGUCUGGGUGUGCCAGAUUCUCGCUGCAAGAAUUGAACAUAGGAGGAAAUCAAAUCAAUGGUACGCUUUCUGACCUUUCAAUAUUCUCUGCCUUGAAAACAUUGGGUCUUUCACGAAAUCAAUUAAAUGGAAAAAUUCCAGAGAGUACCAAAUUGCCAUCUCUGUUAGAGUCUUUGUCAAUUGGAUCAAACUCUUUAGAAGGUGGAAUUCACAAAUCAUUUGGGGAUGCAUGUGCUUUGCGCUCAUUGCACAUGCCUAAUAAUAGCUUGAGUGAAGAGUUUCCAAUGAUAAUCCAUCACUUGUCUGGAUGUGCUAGAUAUUCAUUGGAACGAUUAUAUCUAAGCAUGAAUCAAAUCAAUGGUACGCUUCCUGACCUUUCAAUAUUCUCAUCUUUAAGAGGAUUAUAUCUUGAGGGAAACAAGCUAAAUGGAGAGAUUCCUAAAGAUAUUAAAUUUCCACCUCAACUGGAGAGACUAGAUAUGCAAUCAAAUUCCUUGAAGGGUGUGCUCACUGACUAUCAUUUCGCUAAUAUGUCUAAGUUAGACCACUUGGAGUUAUCUGACAACUCUUUAGUGACCUUGGCAUUUAGCCAAAAUUGGGUCCCACCAUUUCAGUUGCGCUUCAUAGGAUUGCGAUCUUGCAAGCUAGGUCCAGUAUUUCCCAAAUGGUUGGAGACACAAAAUCAAUUUCAGGGUAUUGACAUUUCAAAUGCUGGAAUAGCAGAUAUGGUUCCAAAGUGGUUUUGGGCUAAUUUAGCAUUCCGAGAAUUGAUUUCAAUGAAUAUUUCAUACAAUAAUCUCCAUGGUAUAAUUCCAAAUUUUCCAAUAAGGAAUAUUCAACAUUCCCUAAUUCUUGGAUCAAAUCAAUUUGAUGGCCCUGUUCCACCAUUUCUGCGAGGUUUCGUAUUUCUUGAUUUAUCCAAAAAUAAAUUCUCAGAUUCUCUUUCAUUUUUAUGUGUGAAUGUUAAAGUUGAAACUUUGUACGAAUUAGACCUUUCAAAUAAUCAUUUCUCUGGAAAAAUUCCGGACUGUUGGAGCCAUUUCAAGUCAUUAACUUAUUUGGACUUAAGUCACAAUAAUUUUUCAGGAAGGAUACCCACAUCCAUGGGAUCUCUUCUUCAUCUUCAAGCAUUGCUAUUGAGAAACAACAACUUAACAGAUGAGAUACCUAUCUCCUUGAGGAGUUGUACAAAUCUAGUAAUGCUAGAUAUUUCAGAAAACAGAUUAUCAGGGCUUAUCCCUGCUUGGAUUGGGAGCGAAUUACAAGAGUUGCAAUUUUUAAGUUUGGGAAGAAAUAAUUUCCAUGGAAGUUUACCAUUGCAAAUUUGCUACCUAAGUGACAUUCAACUCUUGGAUGUGUCACUAAACCGCAUGUCUGGGCAAAUUCCUAAAUGCAUAAAAAAUUUUACUUCAAUGACUCAAAAGACAUCUUCAAGAGAUUAUCAAGGUCAUUCAUAUCUUGUCAAUACCAUUGGCAUUUAUUAUUAUUAUACAUAUGAUUUGAAUGCACUCUUGAUGUGGAAAGGUUCAGAACAAAUGUUCAAAAAUAAUGUGUUACUACUUUUAAAAAGCAUUGAUCUCUCAAGCAAUCACUUUUCUGGAGAAAUUCCACUGGAAAUAGAGGAUUUAUUUGGAUUGGUUUCAUUGAAUUUAUCAAGAAACCAUUUGACCGGAGCGAUUCCUUCAAAUAUUGGAAAGUUAACAUUACUUGACUUUCUUGAUUUGUCAAGAAACCAUCUAAUUGGUUCAAUUCCAUGGAGUCUUACUCAAAUUGAUCGACUCGGCGUGUUAGAUUUGUCACAUAACAAUCUAUCUGGAGAAAUUCCAACUGGUACACAAUUACAGAGUUUCAAUGCCUCAUGUUAUGAAGAUAAUCUUGAUCUUUGUGGACCGCCACUAGAGAAAUUGUGUAUUGAUGGGAAGCCUGCACAGGAACCAAUUGUUAAACUUCCUGAAGAUGAAAAUUUGCUUUUCACCCGUGAAUUUUACAUGAGUAUGGCAAUUGGAUUUGUUAUAAGCUUUUGGGGCGUUUUUGGCUCAAUCUUAAUGAAUCGUUCUUGGAGACAUGCUUAUUUCAAGUUCAUAAGCAAUUUAUCAGACGCUAUUUAUGUCAUGGUAGCAGUGAAAGUUUUCAAGUGGCGUCACAGACGAUAGCUGGUAACAAUAUUUUAGUCUUCGUAUAUAUACUUCAUUUUCCUUUAUAUGAUAAAUAUAGUCACAAACCANNNNNNNNNNNNNNNNNNNNNNNNNNNNNNNNNNNNNNNNNNNNNNNNNNNNNNNNNNNNNNNNNNNNNNNNNNNNNNNNNNNNNNNNNNNNNNNNNNNNNNNNNNNNNNNNNNNNNNNNNNNNNNNNNNNNNNNNNNNNNNNNNNNNNNNNNNNNNNNNNNNNNNNNNNNNNNNNNNNNNNNNNNNNNNNNNNNNNNNNNNNNNNNNNNNNNNNNNNNNNNNNNNNNNNNNNNNNNNNNNNNNNNNNNNNNNNNNNNNNNNNNNNNNNNNNNNNNNNNNNNNNNNNNNNNNNNNNNNNNNNNNNNNNNNNNNNNNNNNNNNNNNNNNNNNNNNNNNNNNNNNNNNNNNNNNNNNNNNNNNNNNNNNNNNNNNNNNNNAAAUCUUGAUAUUUUAAAAACCAUCUUUUAGAAUUUUGUUAAUACUGUAAUAUAAUCAAUUUUUGAUAAAUAUUUUUCUAAAAAGUAUAUAAUAAGUUCAAAGAGUCUAAUUACUAAUUAGUAUUAACUUCAAUGUGUUGAAGUUUUACAUGGGAAUCUAUUAAUAUUAAUAUAUUUAAUUUUAUUUAUUUUUAUACCAUUUCAUAUUAGUUAAAUAAAUUAAAGAAAUGAUUAUUAAUAUUGUUAUAUUAAAUUGAGUAGGUUAUAAAACUUCUUUACACUAACAUUUCAUAUUAAACAAAUCAAAAUACUUUUACCUAUUUUCUAAUCCCAAAAUAAUAGCUACAUACAAAUAAAGUAUAUUGUUUUUCUUGAUAUAUAUUUUUCCUCCUUAUAAAUACUUUUACCUAUUUUCUAUCUCACGUUCUACUUUUUGAUAUAGCUUUUAGUGUUGGUGAUUUUCUUGGCAUUCCAAUUUUUUCUCUAUUCUUUUAUUAUUUCUAGUUGAGGACAAAUUUUGAAGGAUCGAUAUUUUAAUUUUUGGCAGAAAAAUUCUGAAUUGUAGGUGCCAGCUUGUUGAGGUGGAAAAUGCAAAGAGACACUUUUAAUUUGGAGGUGAGAAGGCAUCUCUCACAGUUGGAUUUGGAGACCGAGAGAGAAUUAAGGAAGGCUUCUAGAGCUUGAGGGAGCCAAUUGUGAUUGUGAUCCAUCUAGUUUAUUUUCCUUUUUAAUUUCUAAGCAUUUUGUUUGUAGUUUGGCCUUUAAAUCUGAACUGGUUGUUUUGUAUGAAGUUGAUGAAUCUUCAUAAUAAUGGGAACUGAGAGGUUUGGUUAUUGCUUCUUCAUUUUUGGGUCAUGCUAUUUGAUUAUGUAGAAAUAGAAAACCGUGUUUGAUCUAGG
rnacentral:lncRNA from 1 species